GCUCGUGCAUGCUUGAGAAGGAUAUUUCCUUAAAUAAUUCCACCGGUUGUCUGCAAAUCUUACUUAUCCAAUAAGCGACAUGCGUCGAAAGAACAUCGCUUUUUUUUCUUCGUACUACGGAGACAAAGGUUGAACGAUGAAGGAGGUAAAUGUAGCACUUUAUCCGCGUGCUUUGUGCUCGUUGAGGUUGACGGGUCUCCUUGUUACGAUGAUCGUUUGCGAUUAAUUAUGGAGAAACGGAACACCGGUAGCAAAGAGGACCGGCAGGUCCUUCACUAUUACGUUGCCAAGCAGAACACCAUUCUGACGCGUAUGUCGGGCGAAUGCGUUAAGAAUGUAAAUACGUUACGCCUCGGUAUGCUCGUAGAAGCGCUCGAAGAUCUGGGAGACAGUGCACUGAGAGUGCAUGUGAAUGACACGACAGAAUCGGAGAUUUGGCGUGGCACUGAAUGGCGUUGUCACAAGUUCGACUUGAUCUCCGUAUCGUCGGAUGUAUGGAAAUUUCUACCCGCGGUGUCUGUACCGCAAGAAAGGGUUCACUUGGCCAACCACAAACUAUUAUGCAAAGAACUCAUGGGCUUGAUGAUAGACGAUACUAUUUGGUAUUGUCCUGAUCCUCAAGGACACACCAAGUACCUAGCUGUUAUUAAAUAUAUUGGACCUGUGCCACAGCUUGGUCAAGGAUAUUACUUCGGCCUUGAUUUGUUGGAAGGUCAAGAAUCGUCUAAAACAGCCUUGCUGAGCAAGGAGUACUUCGACUCUAUUCAUUCGGAAGGAAGGUUCGCUACAUUGAGUAAUAUUUUUCCAUUAAAACCGGAAGGUCCCACGGGUCUCGGAAACUCCGAUAAAAAUUUCUUUUUGAAAACAGACUCAGGAAAUAAUUACGUGAACGACAAAAAAAAGUCUACGUUAGACUCGACGCCAUCUGUCCAUUUAGAAAAAUUUGCUACAUUCGACGACAAUAAAAACAAUAACAGAGAUCAACGACCUCUGUCGAUAGAGUGUCUUCAAUCGGCAAAAUCAAUGACACUCGAAAACGAUAGCAAUGUAACUAAAAACACAAAUAUCCAUGCGUACGCGCAAUCUGGUAACACGCCGGAAAGAAAUGAAAAUAAGAAGUUUGGAUGGGUAGAGAAUACAGAUUUGAUCGUAGGUUCCAAUGUAAAAAUUCUUUUGGACUCCGAUGUACACUAUGGAGUUAUUCGUUGGAUCGGAACACCCGCUGAUAUUACUCCCGGUAAAUUAAUGGCUGCUGUGGAACUGGACGACAGUCACCCAUCGGGUACUGAUGGAACCUACAAGGGCGUAAGGUAUUUUCACUGUCGACCUUACAGAGCUAUUUUCACAGAUCUCGAACAAUGUUCUCGUUACGAUACAGUGGUCGCAAAAAUUAACGAUCCAGCAGUACCGAUAAAUAUAGACAGUUUUGGAAAUAUGGAAAGCUCUGUCAUUGUCGGUAUGGUACGCCCUAUUUCCGUUAAAGGAAACCUGGAAAGUAUUUGUGGGAAAUAUAGAGGGAUUCAAGGUCAUCACAAUUCAUGUUACUUGGAUGCCACUCUUUUUAGCAUGUUUACGUUUACUAGUGUAUUUGAUAAUCUCUUGUUUAGACCUCCGAACGAAAAAGAUUGCCCACAAUACGAGGAAGUGCAAAGGGUAUUGCGCGAAGAGAUAGUGAAUCCACUUAGAAAAAAUAUGUUUGUCAGAGCAGAUCACGUAAUGAAACUUCGUACUUUGCUUGAAAAAUUGUCAUCGGUAUCCGGACUUACUAGCGAGGAGAAAGAUCCCGAAGAAUUUUUAACUUCGCUGGUUGCUCAGAUUUUGAACGCCGAGCCGUUUCUCAAGCUAAGUUCCGGACAGGAUGCGUAUCACUAUCAACUUUUCGUUGAAAAAGACGAUCAUUUGAAUCUACCGACUGUGCAACAAUUAUUAGAACAAAGUUUCCUCACGAGUAACAUAAGAUUGAAAGAAGUCCCAUCCUGUCUCAUUAUACAGAUGCCUCGAUUUGGAAAGUCGUUCAAAAUGUAUCCAAAGAUACAGCCUACCCUGUUGCUCGACGUAACGGACAUAAUCGAAGAUUCUCCCAGACAGUGUACAGUUUGCGGGAAACUAGCAGAGUUCGAGUGCAAAGAGUGUUACGGACAAUGCGGCGUUGGACUCGAGAGUAUCGCCUUCUGUUUGCAGUGUUUAGAGAAGGUACAUCGUCACGAACGAAGGACGAAUCACGAACCAAAGAAACUAGUAGUACCAAUGGAGUUUGCUAUCUUACAAGAACAUUGUCCUGUCCCACGAUUGUAUCUGGAAUUAUCAGCAGUAGUUUGCAUCGAAACCUCUCAUUACGUGUGUUUUGUGAAAUGUGGUUCUGGUUCGGAGGCACCGUGGUGUUUCUUCGACUCUAUGGCUGAUAGAAAAGGAGAACAGAAUGGUUACAACAUACCAGAAAUGGUUCCGUGUUCUGAUUUCCCAUAUUGGCUGAGCGAAGAAGGUGGAAAUUAUCUGACUGAAUUGACGGAUGACCGUCAUUUACCGGAACAUGCAAAACGACUGUUGUGCGACGCCUACAUGUGCAUGUAUCAAUCCCCAGAUGUUAUGAUGUACAAAUAAGUUCAAUUGACUAAUAAUUUGGGUAAUUCCUGCGCGUUUAAGGUGGAAAUAAUAGAUGGCCAUGCACUUUCAUAUGGUUUUUACACAUCUGAUAAUAUAACGUUCUACGGAACAUAGAAGUUGCGUUUAAGCGCAAAAAUUAAUUAAGAAUCUCUAUCAAAAAAUUAUGCGGAAGAAGAUUCAAAACUGAGAGUUGAAAAUAUCCCAUAACGAAUGCUUGAAGCAACAGAUAUAAUACUCGAAGAAGAAAUUUUUAUUUACACAUAAGGCACAAAUUAUUAUUGGAAGCGAAGGAGGUUGAUUCGCGAAAUU